AAAGCAAAAAAACUUUAUAAGAUAUAAAAAGUUAUUUAAGAAUAAUGGUUGAUUUGUGUUUAUUUUGAGCUGCCUUUCAUAAUUAAAUGAAUUUAAAUAGGUUUUAUUUUGCAAUUAAUUACAAAAUUAAAUUCUAAAGCCAACUGCGAUUGCUAAAGUGACACCAUAAACAAUGUAAAAGAAGACUGGAGUAUACUGACGGAUAUCGGAAGAGCACACAGAAAUACAAGCUGACGCAGGAGUUAAAGACUAAAGAUGCCAUUGAUGAAAUUACGGGCAAUGAAGAUGCCACGACCGGUCAGAGUUCUGACUCUGAUGCUCUCUAUAUUGACCAUGGCAGCCCUUGUAAAGUACAAAAUCAGGAAAAGGAGGGAAAAUCCAUAAAAGAAGAUGUUAAGGAUCAUAUCUUCUCCAAGGACCAGAUUGCACCAGAAUCCAAGGAAUGUACUGAUGUUGAAUGUUUGUUUAAACCAUAAUCAGACAUGAUCAUUAUGCAUAUAAUUUUGCAUUUUUCCAGACUUUUUAAUGUAAAAUCAUCAAAUGUAUGAGGAUUGAAAUCAGUUCAGGUUUUGUUUCUUAUGCUGUUUUUCAAUAUUUAUUUACAUAAGAUGGUAUGUGGUGAACUGAUGUAGUGGCAUAUAGUUUUAAAUCUUAUAUUUAGCAGAAUCUUGUAAAAUGAUUGUGUACAUUUAAAAUGAUGAAAUGUCUCUUUGCAUUCCAGAAGCGAAGUCAGGGAGAAAUGUGCCAAAAAAGCCGGGACGAUGCGAUCGACGCACUUCCCCAAUUCCAAAUCCAAAUAAUAAUCCACCACAAAUGAAGAAGCAUCAAAACAUGGAGUGAAGAAGAAAAAGAGGCGGAGCACAAGUAUCUCAUUUGAGCAUAUCUGAACCAGAUCUAAAACAAAGAUCAUGGAAGGACGUAAAACAUUUUGUAUAUAAUUCUGUCCCGAAACAAAAAAGGUUAUUUGGCAAAUGUGCAGUAAUUGUGAAACUGAACCAAGGGAACCAGGUUUGUUCUUUUGCACUAUAUUGGUGGCCUUUUAAGUUACCAGUGCACUAAUAUUAUUUUGCAUAUAUUUUCUGGCUAUAUUUUUUUCUUUUUCCUGAUUUUUUAAGAAAAUGCACUAAUUUGAAUACUGUAUAUUUUAGACUGAAAUAGCACUGCCUAAUUCUGUUCCGUCAGUUGUACUCAUGUUCAUUUUGUUUUACUCAAGUACAUUUGUUGCUGCUCUCCAACAUCCACAUCUGCAUUAUAUAUGAUUACUAUAGACAAGAAUGUCUUUCCUUUGUUUUCUGUUCUUUGUGCAGAACAAAGUCUGCAAUGUUUUUGUCAUCUGAAAUAUGCUAUUAUGCAAUGAUUUGCUAAUUGUAAUUUCAAGCCACUCGAUUAAUCAUUAGUGUAAACAACUAGUGGUCAUUAUGUGUGUGUAUAUAAUACAUACAUUACUUAGACAGUGUGAGCCACUGCACUUGAUUGAGGGCAAAAACCUCUUCUGUGUGGAGAGGGUAAUACUGUACUUGACAGUGGUUUGUUGUACUAAUUAUGUACUGUUAUGGAUUGUAUU